GAGAGAAUUGGAUCUUGGAAAGACUGAGUGACUUAAUUGGGAUCACAUGGCUAGUAAGUGGCAAAGGCAGGAUUUGCACCCAUGGACUCUGAUUCCAGAACAUGUCCUCAAAACAUUAAACAGAAUUGCAUUCUUCAUAAAGAGAAAACUAUUAGCUGCAAGAGAUAGCACCUUGACCUUGUUGUCAUCAUGAUCUACUCAUUUAGUUCUCUCUUAACUCACAGGGAAAAAGUGGUUAGUUUGUGGGGUGAGCCUGUAGUCCCAGCUAUCUGGGAGGCUGAAGUGGGAGGAUAGCUUGAGCCUAGAAGUUCCAGGCUGUAGUGUGUAGUGAUUGUGCACUUCAGGCUGGGCAACAUAGCAAGAACCUAUAUCUAUAAAAAAUGUUUCAAAAAGUGGUUAGUUUGUUGUGUAGCCUGUAUUACAAAGGAAAGAGAAAAGAGAAGUACUGUUGUGUGCUCCUCAGCAUUUCUUCCUCUUCAGUUUCUUUCUCCAGAUCCUUGUCCCCUUAUGGGAACUGUGCCAUAAACUGGCCUAGAAUGAGACCUACCAGAUGUGGGAGGGAGUCAUUCACUGUUUUAAGGGAAAAAAAUCUGAUAAAAUAUAUAUUUUUAGGAAGGG
rnacentral:lncRNA from 1 species